rnacentral:rRNA from 1 species
GACGAACGCUGGCGGCGUGCCUAAUACAUGCAAGUCGAACGCUUCUUUCCUCCCGAGUGCUUGCACUCAAUUGGAAAGAGGAGUGGCGGACGGGUGAGUAACACGUGGGUAACCUACCCAUCAGAGGGGGAUAACACUUGGAAACAGGUGCUAAUACCGCAUAACAGUUUAUGCCGCAUGGCAUAAGAGUGAAAGGCGCUUUCGGGUGUCGCUGAUGGAUGGACCCGCGGUGCAUUAGCUAGUUGGUGAGGUAACGGCUCACCAAGGCCACGAUGCAUAGCCGACCUGGGAGGGUGAUCGGCCACACUGGGACUGAGACACGGCCCAGACUCCUACGGGAGGCAGCAGUAGGGAAUCUUCGGCAAUGGACGAAAGUCUGACCGAGCAACGCCGCGUGAGUGAAGAAGGUUUUCGGAUCGUAAAACUCUGUUGUUAGAGAAGAACAAGGACGUUAGUAACUGAACGUCCCCUGACGAUAUCUAACCAGAAAGCCACGGCUAACUUCGUGCCAGCAGCCGCCGUAA